AACGAACGCUGGCGGCGCGUCUUAAACAUGCAAGUCGAACGGCAGGAAGGGGCUUGCCCCUUCUGAGAGUGGCGGACUGGUGAGUAACACGUGGGUGACAUACCUUUUAGUUGGGGAUAGCUAUUAGAAAUAGUAGGUAAUACCGAAUGUGACCGUACCUGUUAGAGGGGUACGAGGAAAGGAGCUAAGGCUUCGCUAAAAGAAUGGCUCGCGGCCCAUUAUGCUCGUUGGUGAGGUAACGGCCCACCAAGGCGAUGAUGGGUAUCCGGCCUGAGAGGGUGAACGGACACAUUGGGACUGAGAUACGGCCCAGACUUCUACGGGAGGCAGCAGUUAAGAAUAUUCCGCAAUGGACGAAAGUCUGACGGAGCGACGCCGCGUGUAUGAAGAAUGCCGAAAGGUUGUAAAAUCCUUUUAAGCCUGAUGAAUAAGCACAGUAGGGAAUGAUUGUGCGGUGACCGUAGGGCUUGAAUAAGCACCGGCUAAUUACGUG
rnacentral:rRNA from 1 species